UGGGGAAUAUUGGGCAAUGGGCGAAAGCCUGACCCAGCAACGCCGCGUGAAGGAAGAAGGCUUUCGGGUUGUAAACUUCUUUCUCAGGGACGAACAGAUGACGGUACCUGAGGAAUAAGCCACGGCUAACUACGUGCCAGCAGCCGCGGUAAUACGUAGGUGGCAAGCGUUAUCCGGAUUUACUGGGUGUAAAGGGCGUGUAGGCGGGAAAGCAAGUCAGAUGUGAAAAGCCAUGGGCUCAACCUGUGGCCUGCAUUGAACUGUUUUUCUUGAGUACUGGAGAGGCAGACGGAAUUCCUAGUGUAGCGGUGAAAUGCGUAGAUAUUAGGAGGAACACCAGUGGCGAAGGCGGUCUGCUGGACAGCAACUGACGCUGAGGCGCGAAAGCGUGGGGAGCAAACAGGAUUAGAUACCC
rnacentral:rRNA from 1 species